AGCGCAGGCGGCUCGGUCAGUCUGAAGUGAAAUCCCGGGGCUUAACCCCGGACGUGCUUUGGAUACUACCGAGCUUGAGUACGCGAGAGGAGAGCGGAAUUCCAGGUGUAGCGGUGAAAUGCGUAGAUAUCUGGAGGAACAUCCGUGGCGAAAGCGGCUCUCUGGCGCGUUACUGACGCUGAGGCUCGAAAGCGUGGGGAGCGAACA
rnacentral:rRNA from 1 species